GGUUUUUAUAGUUGAAGAACAACGAUGAUUUUUCAUGUCAUUGGUCAUGGUUAGAGUCUAUGUAAAAACG
rnacentral:tRNA from 1 species